AACGAACGCUGGCGGCAGGCCUAACACAUACAAGUCGAGCGAAGCCUUCGGGCUUAGCGGCGGACGGGUGAGUAACGCGUGGGAACGUGCCCUUUGGUACGGAAUAGCCCCGGGAAACUGGGAGUAAUACCGUAUGUGCCCUUCGGGGGAAAGAUUUAUCGGCAAAGGAUCGGCCCGCGUUGGAUUAGGUAGUUGGUGGGGUAAUGGCCUACCAAGCCGACGAUCCAUAGCUGGUUUGAGAGGAUGAUCAGCCACACUGGGACUGAGACACGGCCCAGACUCCUACGGGAGGCAGCAGUGGGGAAUCUUAGACAAUGGGGGAAACCCUGAUCUAGCCAUGCCGCGUGAUCGAUGAAGGCCUUAGGGUUGCAAAGAUCUUUCAGUGGGGAAGAUAAUGACUGUACCCACAGAAGAAGCCCCGGCUAACUCCGUGCCAGCAGCCGCCGCGGUAA
rnacentral:rRNA from 1 species